rnacentral:rRNA from 1 species
UACGAAGGGGGCUAGCGUUGCUCGGAAUUACUGGGCGUAAAGCGCACGUAGGCGGGUCAUUAAGUCAGAGGUGAAAGCCCACAGCUCAACUGUGGAACUGCCUUUGAUACUGGUGACCUAGACCAAAGUAGAGGCAGGUGGAAUUCCGAGUGUAGAGGUGGAAUUCGUAGAUAUUCGGAGGAACACCAGUGGCGAAGGCGGCCUGCUGGACUUUUGGUGACGCUGAGGUGCGAAAGCGUGGGGAGCAAACAGG